rnacentral:rRNA from 1 species
GGAAUAUUGGUCAAUGGGUGAGAGCCUGAACCAGCCAUGCCGCGUGCAGGAAGAAGGCCUUCUGGGUUGUAAACUGCUUUUGCCAGGGGAUAAAAUUUCCAUGCGUGGCAAAUUGAAGGUACCUGGUGAAUAAGCCCCGGCCACCUACGUUCCAGCCGCCGCGGUAAUACGUAGGUGGCCAGCGUUGUACGGAUUUAUUGGGUUUAAAGGGUGCGUAGGCGGCCCUGUAAGUCAGUGCUGAAAUAUCCCGGCUUAACCGGGAGGGUGGCAUUGAUACUGCGGGGCUAGAGUACAGAUGAGGUAGGCGGAAUUGACGGUGUAGCGGUGAAAUGCUUAGAUAUCGUCAAGAACACCUAUAGCGAAGGCAGCUUACUAGGCUGUAACUGACGCUGAGGCACGAAAGUGUGGGGAUCAA